AUACGUAGGUGGCGCGCGUUGUCCGGAAUGAUUGGGCGUAAAGGGCGCGUAGGCGGCCCGGUAAGUCUGUAGUGAAAGUCCUGUUUUUAAGAUGGGAAUUGCUUUGGAUACUGUCGGGCUUGCGUGCAGGAGAGGGAAGUGGAAUUCCCAGUGUCGCGGUGAAAUGCGUAGAGAUUGGGAGGAACACCAGUGGCGAAGGCGACUUACUGGACUGUAACUGACGCUGAGGCGCGAAAGUGUGGGGAGCAAACAGGAUUAGAUACCCUGGUAGUCCACACUGUAAACGAUGAAUGCUAGGUGUAGGGGGUAUCGACCCCUUCUGUGCCGCAGUCAACACAAUAAGCAUUCCGCCUGGGGAGUACGGCCGCAAGGUUGAAACUCAAAGGAAUUGACGGGG
rnacentral:rRNA from 1 species